rnacentral:rRNA from 1 species
AUCUCGUGUCGUGAGAUGUUGGGUUAAGUCCCGCAACGAGCGCAACCCUUAUCCUAUGUUGCCAGCGCGUCAUGGCGGGGACUCAUAGGAGACUGCCGGGGUCAACUCGGAGGAAGGUGGGGAUGACGUCAAGUCAUCAUGCCCCUUACGUCUUGGGCUGCACACAUGCUACAAUGGCCGGUACAAAGGGCUGCGAUACCGCAAGGUGGAGCGAAUCCCAAAAAGCCGGUCUCAGUUCGGAUCGGGGUCUGCAACUCGACCCCGUGAAGUCGGAGUCGCUAGUAAUCGCAGAUCAGCAUUGCUGCGGUGAAUACGUUCCCGGGCCUUGUACACACCGCCCGUCACGUCACGAAAGUCGGUAACACCCGAAGCCGGUGGCCCAACCCUUGUGGGGGGAGCCGUCGAAGGUGGCGACCGGCUGAUUUGGGACGAAGUACGUAACAAGGUAGCCGUACCGGAAGGUGCGGCUGGAUCACCUCCUUUCUAAGGAGCUUUCUGGCUGGGUGCCCUCUGUAGUGGAGGGUGUCUGGUCCAGAGCGAAGACCAGCUGGAUGGUUGGUCUGGGUGCUCAUGGGUGUGGAACGCUGACUA